AUGGCCGCAAAGACGCUCGUGCGGGUUCUUGUCUCGUCAGUUGGGCACGUGUCUGCCGUCCAAUCGAGCUCGGUGGCCUUGGGAUCCGCGAUCUUCACCGCACGGGCAUCUCUUUGCGUGUCAGAUGGCUCUGGUUGUCUGCUUCUGAAAGUUCGCGCCCUUGGUCCCAUCUUCAACCCACUUCAAUUCUUCCGGGCCUCGACCUCUUGGAUCCUCGGCAAUGGCACUUCCUGUCACUUCUGGACUGAUAAAUGGAUGCAAGGCCGCUCCAUCCAGGAGCUUGCCCCGGGCCUGGUGGCCUUGGUGCCGAACCGAUCGCGCCGCUCCCGCACAGUUGCGGCCGCCCUCCACGAUCGCGCCUGGAUCAGGGACAUCCGUGGC
rnacentral:rRNA from 1 species